rnacentral:rRNA from 1 species
AGAGUUUGAUCAUGGCUCAGAACGAACGCUGGCGGCACGCCUAACACAUGCAAGUCGAGCGCCCAGCAAUGGGAGCGGCGGACGGGUGAGUAACACGUGGGAACAUGCCUUUCGGUUCGGCACAACUCAGGGAAACUUGAGCUAAUUCCGGAUGCGCCCUAACGGGGAAAGAUUUAUCGCCGAAAGAUUGGCCCGCGUAAGAUUAGCUAGUUGGUGAGGUAAUGGCUCACCAAGGCAACGAUCUUUAGCUGGUUUGAGAGAACGACCAGCCACAUUGGGACUGAGACACGGCCCAAACUCCUACGGGAGGCAGCAGUGGGGAAUCUUGGACAAUGGGGGAAACCCUGAUCCAGCGAUGCCGCGUGAGUGAUGAAGGCCUUCGGGUUGUAAAACUCUUUCGACGGGGACGAUAAUGACGGUACCCGUAGAAGAAGCUCCGGCUAACUUCGUGCCAGCAGCCGCGGUAAUACGAAGGGGGCUAGCGUUGUUCGGAAUUACUGGGCGUAAAGCGCGCGCAGGCGGCCAUUCAAGUCAGGGGUGAAAGCCCAGAGCUCAACUCUGGAACUGCCCUUGAAACUGUAUGGCUUGAGUAUGAGAGAGGUGAGUGGAAUUCCCAGUGUAGAGGUGAAAUUCGUAGAUAUUGGGAAGAACACCGGUGGCGAAGGCGGCUCACUGGCUCAUUACUGACGCUCAGGCGCGACAGCGUGGGGAUCAAACAGGAUUAGAUACCCUGGUAGUCCACGCCGUAAACUAUGGACGCUAGCCGUUGGGCAGCUUGCUGCUCAGUGGCGCAGCUAACGCAUUAAGCGUCCCGCCU